UCCUCCCUCUGGCGGCGUGCUUAACACAUGCAAGUCGAACGGAAAGGCCCUGCUUUUGUGGGGUGCUCGAGUGGCGAACGGGUGAGUAACACGUGAGUAACCUGCCCUUGACUUUGGGAUAACUUCAGGAAACUGGGGCUAAUACCUGAUAGGAGCUCCUGCUGCAUGGUGGGGGUUGGAAAGUUUCGGCGGUUGGGGAUGGACUCGCGGCUUAUCAGCUUGUUGGUGGGGUAGUGGCUUACCAAGGCUUUGACGGGUAGCCGGCCUGAGAGGGUGACCGGCCACAUUGGGACUGAGAUACGGCCCAGACUCCUACGGGAGGCAGCAGUGGGGAAUAUUGCACAAUGGGCGGAAGCCUGAUGCAGCAACGCCGCGUGCGGGAUGACGGCCUUCGGGUUGUAAACCGCUUUCGCCUGUGACGAAGCGUGAGUGACGGUAAUGGGUAAAGAAGCACCGGCUAACUACGUG
rnacentral:rRNA from 1 species